UCCAGACCUGGGCCUCCUCCACAGCCUUCUGGGAAGCUGGGUAGGGGCAGUGUUCCCUAGGUCUCAUGACAUAUGCUCUGCCUUCCAACCUGGCCUAGAGGUACAGUGGGCUGCCUGUCGUGGCUUGCUUGUUCCUUUAGCAAACAUCUCAUUGGCACAAGCAAGUACCCAUCCUGGGCUGAAGCUGUAGAGCCAUAUUUACAUGUGGAUUCAGCCAAUCUCCGCAGCUGAGCUGUAUGAUCAUAGACAAGCACCUUGGCUCAGCACCUUGGGCAGUCUGAGCCUUGCUUUCCUAAUGGAUCUGAAGAGCCUUAUCUGAGUUAUUGAGUAUAGAUGUGAGACAAGCCUGGCCCUAGCAAGGUCAACAGAGCAUAGUAUUUGGGCUCCACAGGCCUCUUGACCUAGCAGAACACUUGGACCAGCAACUGAAUAGCUAUUUGCCUUCUGUUUGGCAUUUAGAGAAGGUUAUGAAAGACAUCCAAGCAGAGCAGGCACCUGAUGUGGUUCUGAGAAGGUGACAGAUGUCCCAGUUGGCAUGCCGGGUCCAGUGGGAACCCUAAAGCAGGUGUUGAGACAACCUGUCUGCUUCUGCCUUGGGACCUUUGUACCUGCAUCUGUGGAGAGCUGUGUGGCCUGGCUUCAGUUCAACAACACCUCCUCCAGGAAGCCUCUCCUGCUUGCCCUAACUGGGAUCGUAUCCUACCCCACCCUGUGCACACUGCAUCUUCUAGCCCAUACUGCCUACUGCAUUACAUGUAUGUUUUAUCUGUCCAUUCCUUUCUCCUCCGAUGUUCCUGAGAAGGCACACCAAACUCAUUCCAUACUGGCUCCUGAUGACCAGAGCAGAGCCUAGCUGUUAGACAGAACUCAGCAAGUUCCAAGGUGUUCUGCUGAGAAGGAAAAGGAGCCAUGGAAAAGCUAACAUGUCACAUGCUUUGGUGGAGAGGGUCUGCGAGUGACAAGGUGUACUCAGAAAAUGUCCAAGAUGACCAUAAGGCACCCUGGAGGCCCUGGGUCUCAGAGGUGGACAGCGCUGCUGCAGGGGAAGGGUGUAGGAAUGUGAGUCUCCUCUAGGGACAGAGAGUUGCCCCUGGGUUUGAUCGAGUAGAGGCCACCCUGUCUAGCUUUUCUAGAUUUUUUUUUAAAGAUGUAUUUAUUUAUUAUAUGUAAGUACACCGUAGCUGUCUUCAGACACUCCAGAAGAGGGAGUCAGAUCUUGUUACAGAUGGUUGUGAGCCACCAUGUGGUGGCUGGGAUUUGAACUCUGGACCUUCGGAAGAGCAGUCAGGUGCUCUUACCCACUGAGCCAUCUCACCAGCCCCCUCCCUGUCUAGCUUUUAUUGAAGCCGAAUCCUCUUCUGCUUCAUGGGGAAGGACCAUGGGGUGAGAGAUCAGCAAAGAGAAGGGCUGUCUCAGUGUCUUGCUUGUCUCCCUACACUGCCACACCAGUUCAGAAGUGGCUGUCCUCCCUGAGUCCCUAGGGGAUUCCUGAUACUCCUCCCUAUCUCUUCAAGCCUUGAUUGAAGGCGAGACUAGUGAGAAGGUCCCCAGUUGUCCCCAGACAGCUGUGACAG